UCCGUAGGUGAACCUGCGGAGGGAUCAUUACCGAGUUUACAACUCCCAAACCCAAUGUGAACCAUACCAAACUGUUGCCUCGGCGGGGUCACGCCCCGGGUGCGUCGCAGCCCCGGAACCAGGCGCCCGCCGGAGGGACCAACCAAACUCUUUUCUGUAGUCCCCUCGCGGACGUUAUUUCUUACAGCUCUGAGCAAAAAUUCAAAAUGAGUCAAAACUUUCAACAACGGAUCUCUUGGUUCUGGCAUCGAUGAAGAACGCAGCGAAAUGCGAUAAGUAAUGUGAAUUGCAGAAUUCAGUGAAUCAUCGAAUCUUUGAACGCACAUUGCGCCCGCCAGUAUUCUGGCGGGCAUGCCUGUCCGAGCGUCAUUUCAACCCUCGAACCCCUCCGGGGGGUCGGCGUUGGGGACCUCGGGAGCCCCUAAGACGGGAUCCCGGCCCCGAAAUACAGUGGCGGUCUCGCCGCAGCCUCUCCUGCGCAGUAGUUUGCACAACUCGCACCGGGAGCGCGGCGCGUCCACGUCCGUAAAACACCCAACUUCUGAAAUGUUGACCUCGGAUCAGGUAGGAAUACCCGCUGAACUUAAGCAUAUCAAUAAGCGGAGGA
rnacentral:rRNA from 1 species